CCCUUAUUGCUAGUUACCAUCAUUCAUUGGGGACUCUAGCGAGACUGCCAGUGAUAAACUGGAGGAAGGUGGGGAUGACGUCAAAUCAUCAUGCCCCUUAUGACCUGGGCUACAAACGUGAUACAAUGGCUGAAACAAAGGGCAGCGAAGCAGUGAUGUGGAGCGAAACCCAAAAAAGCAGUCUCAGUUCGGAUUGAAGUCUGCAACUCGACUUCAUGAAGUCGGAAUCGCUAGUAAUCGCGGAUCAGAACGCCGCGGUGAAUACGUUCUCGGGUUU
rnacentral:rRNA from 1 species